GACGAACGCUGGCGGCGUGCCUAAUACAUGCAAGUAGAACGCUGAAGGAGGAGCUUGCUUCUCUGGAUGAGUUGCGAACGGGUGAGUAACGCGUAGGUAACCUGCCUGGUAGCGGGGGAUAACUAUUGGAAACGAUAGCUAAUACCGCAUAAUAGUAGAUGCCGCAUGACAUUUGCUUAAAAGGUGCAAUUGCAUCACUACCAGAUGGACCUGCGUUGUAUUAGCUAGUUGGUGAGGUAACGGCUCACCAAGGCAACGAUACAUAGCCGACCUGAGAGGGUGAUCGGCCACACUGGGACUGAGACACGGCCCAGACUCCUACGGGAGGCAGCAGUAGGGAAUCUUCGGCAAUGGACGGAAGUCUGACCGAGCAACGCCGCGUGAGUGAAGAAGGUUUUCGGAUCGUAAAGCUCUGUUGUAAGAGAAGAACGAGUGUGAGAGUGGAAAGUUCACACUGUGACGGUAUCUUACCAGAAAGGGACGGCUAACUACGUG
rnacentral:rRNA from 1 species